CAGCCGCCGCGGGAAUACGUAGGUGGCGAGCGUUGUCCGGAAUUAUUGGGCGUAAAGGGAGCGCAGGCGGGCGAGUAAGUCCUUCUUAAAAGUGCGGGGCUCAACCCCGUGAGGGGAGAGAAACUACUCAUCUUGAGUGCAGGAGAGGAAAGCGGAAUUCCUAGUGUAGCGGUGAAAUGCGUAGAUAUUAGGAAGAACACCAGUGGCGAAGGCGGCUUUCUGGACUGUAACUGACGCUGAGGCUCGAAAGCCAGGGGAGCGAACGGGAUUAGAUACCCCUGUAGUCCCUGUCUCUUAUACA
rnacentral:rRNA from 1 species